AAGCCCCGCAAGGGGCCUGUAGCGUGGCAAACGGGUGAGUAACACGUGGGUGACCUGCCUUCGAGCGGGGGAUAACGUCCCGAAAGGGACGCUAAUACCGCAUGACAUCCUGCCUUUGAAGAGGCGGAGAUCAAAGCUGGGGAUCGCAAGACCUGGCACUUGAAGAGGGGCCCGCGCCUGAUUAGCUAGUUGGUGAGGUAACGGCUCACCAAGGCAACGAUCAGUAUCCGGCCUGAGAGGGCGGACGGACACACUGGGACUGAGACACGGCCCAGACUCCUACGGGAGGCAGCAGUGGGGAAUUGUUCGCAAUGGGCGCAAGCCUGACGACGCAACGCCGCGUGGAGGAUGAAGACCUUCGGG
rnacentral:rRNA from 1 species